rnacentral:pre_miRNA from 1 species
UUAACUCAUAUUUGCAUGGAGUUGGAACGUUUGCCGCUAGGGACGCUGUUCCAACUGCAUACAAAUUUGAGUUA